rnacentral:lncRNA from 1 species
GGGCGGCCUGCCCUGAGGCUUCAGACCKACCAAGUCUCCACGGAUGGUGAACCAGUUCCUUAAGCUCUCAUCCUGCUGCUUCUGCUCCYCGGGAAAGCUCUCUUCUCCACUGGGCUCCUGCAGACGACCUUGUGGAUUGGGACCAGCCCGUGGGGGUGUGGUUUAAAUCCUGUCUCCACCGCUGCCCACUGGGUGUUCCAGCCUCCCUCACGACCAGGUUCUGCCGUGAGAGCAGUCGGAGCUUGGCAGAGGGAGGCCGAGGAGAUGAAGGUCAGCAGGCGGAGGGGCCCGAAGCAGGGAGAAGGGAAGGCUGGCUCCUGAGGCCCUCACCCUGUGCCCAGCGCUGGCUGUGCCCCGGGUCCCCGGCUCGUGUGACCRCUGUUCCCCACCCAACCCCUCUUAGCCUGGACUAUUCCUGAGGAGAAAGGGACCCAGUAGCAAGACUUCCCCCUUCACUUCUUGGAGAUCAGAUAUUUGAUUUUCUCCUUCAGCAAUUGUCCUUGAAGGGUGCAAAAUAUAUUUAAGCAAUCAAUGGCAGACACAUCCCGGCUUCUCUGAAUCAGAUAAAGGUCGC